rnacentral:misc_RNA from 1 species
UGUGGGAGCUGGCUUGCCUGCGAUAGCGGAGUGUCAGUUGACGCAUUCGUAGCUGGCCCACUGCAAUCGCAGGCAAGCCAGCUCCCACA